AGAGUUUGAUCCUGGCUCAGGAUGAACGCUGGCGGCGUGCCUAACACAUGCAAGUCGAACGAAGCACCCGCGCGGAUUCCCUCGGGAUGAAGCGCGGAUGACUGAGUGGCGGACGGGUGAGUCACGCGUGGGCAACCUGCCCCGUGCCGGGGGACAACAGCCGGAAACGGCUGCUAAUACCGCAUGAUCCGGGAGGGCCGCAUGGCCCUGCCGGGAAAGCUCCGGCGGCACGGGAUGGGCCCGCGUCUGAUUAGUUUGUUGGCGGGGUAACGGCCCACCAAGACUGCGAUCAGCAGCCGGCCUGAGAGGGCGGCCGGCCACAUUGGGACUGAGACACGGCCCAGACUCCUGCGGGAGGCAGCAGUGGGGAAUAUUGCACAAUGGGGGAAACCCUGAUGCAGCGACGCCGCGUGGGCGACGAAGCGCUCCGGCGCGUAAAGCCCUGUCAGCAGGGAAGAACAAAGACAGUACCUGACCAAGAAGCCCCGGCUAACUACGUGCCAGCAGCCGCGGUAAUACGUAGGGGGCAAGCGUUAUCCGGAUUCACUGGGCGUAAAGGGAGCGUAGACGGUGAUGCAAGUCUGGAGUGAAAGCCCGGGGCCCAACCCCGGGACUGCAUUGGAAACUGCCGGGCUGGAGUGCCGGAGGGGUAAGCGGAAUUCCUGGUGUAGCGGUGAAAUGCGCAGAUAUCAGGAAGAACACCGGUGGCGUAGGCGGCUUACUGGACGGCAACUGACGCUGAGGCUCGAAAGCGUGGGGAGCAAACAGGAUUAGAUACCCUGGUAGUCCACGCCGUAAACGA
rnacentral:rRNA from 1 species